GGGUCUCUAGCUUAGUGGUAAAGCUGCCAGCUCAUAACUGGUAAGAGAGGGGUUCGAAUCCCUUGGGACCCA
rnacentral:tRNA from 1 species